rnacentral:rRNA from 1 species
UGCAGAGGGUGCGAGCGUUAAUCGGAAUUACUGGGCGUAAAGCGCACGUAGUUGGCUUUGCAAGUCGGGUGUGAAAUCCCCGGGCUCAACCUGGGAACUGCAUCCGAGACUGCAUUGCUAGAGUAUGGGAGAGGGAAGCGGAAUUUCUGGUGUAGCAGUGAAAUGCGUAGAUAUCAGAAGGAACAUCAGUGGCGAAGGCGGCUUCCUGGACCAAUACUGACGAUCAGGUGCGAAAGCGUGGGGAGCAAACAGG